CCCCCCGCCCACACAACAAACACACACACAAAAAAAGUUAAACCCCUACGCCCACACACCAAACACACAAAAAAAGUUAAAAGACUCUGCUAAGUAGCCCGGCGGCCGGUGAUUUGACGUUCUGCGAGUAUUUGCGCAUUGAAUUUGCGAAAUCAAAGUGGUGUUAUUGAUAAUUAAUGGCUUCGGCUAAUUCUAGACUAUCAAUCCUUACGCGACACUUGACUUCAGCAUCAGCAACUUCUUCCUCUAAGGCCGGAUCUCAUGGUCAAAAUUUGGGGUGGAUUAAGAUGUCUCCGGAGGUUUCAGGAGCACUAAAAUGUGGUAGCCCGAUUGUUGCAUUAGAAUCCACCAUAAUAUCUCAUGGAAUGCCGUAUCCCCAGAAUUUCGAGACAGCGAAAGAGUUGGAGGUCAUUGUGAAGGAGAAUGGAGCUGUACCUGCCACUAUCGCUAUUCUGGAUGGUGUACCAUGCAUAGGCUUGACUACAGAAGAACUAGAGACUCUAGCUCGUCUUGGUAGCAAAGCUCGGAAAACUGCUAGUAGAGAUAUUGCAAUUGUUAUGGCAGGCAGGGAGAAUGGGGCAACUACUGUCUCUGCAACAAUGUAUCUUGCUUCGAAGGUUGGUAUUCCAGUAUUUGUCACUGGUGGUAUUGGAGGAGUGCAUAGACAUGGAGAGAACACAAUGGAUAUUUCUUCUGAUCUUACUGAGCUUGGAAAUACUCCUGUGGCUGUGAUUUCUGCUGGUAUAAAAUCGAUACUAGAUAUUCCUCGAACACUUGAAUAUUUGGAAACUCAAAGAGUUACUGUUGCAGCUUAUAAAACCGAUGAGUUCCCUGCUUUCUUCACACAAACCAGUGGCUGCAAGGCACCUGCUCGAGUAGAAUCACCAGAACAUUGCGCUCGAGUUAUUGAUGCAACCAUAAGACUUGAGCGGAAGAGUGGAAUCUUGAUAGCAGUCCCCAUUCCAAGGGAGCAUGCUGCUUCUGGAAGUUUGAUUGAGUUGGCAAUACAACAAGCUCUCCAAGAAGCACGAGAGAAGAAGAUUAUUGGCAAUGCUGAAACUCCAUUCUUGCUUGCAAGGGUCAAUGAACUUACUGGUGGAGCAUCUCUGGCUUCAAUUUUAAGACAUUGCCCUUGUGAAAAAUAAUGCCAGUGUCGGUGCUAAAAUUGCUGUUUCGCUUGCCCAGCUUCAAAAACAUAGGCGAUAAAAGGCUGUAAUUCUCGUAUAUCCUACCCAUUCGAUUAAGAUUGUAACUGCAAAUAAGCUAGAGUUAAGGUGCACGGGAUCUUACGGUCUAGCCUUAUGGUCUAGCCGCUGAACCUCCACAUCUUCACGACGGAUUCAAUUUCACCGGGUCCAUGUCGGUUCCUUUUGUAUCAACUCAGCUAAGCAUUUCAUUCUCUUUGAGUUUGAAGGAAGCAUUGGCCUUGACAAAUAGUAAAAAUAGCACUGCAUAUGGAGCAGAAACGGUGUUCAAAAGUAGAAUGAAAAAUUUUGAGUCAUGUAACAUGAAGUUGUACCCAUUGCACUAACAUGGCACAGUAACUUUAACUUUAUUUGCAUUAGAAAAAGUACAUCAUUCUUACAUAACCAAAACAAAAA